AUCACCAAUUUUUUUGUCCGCCUA
rnacentral:siRNA from 1 species